GUCUAUGAUCAUAUGACCCUGAAUGUGUUUAAUCUCUUCUGAUCUCGAAAGCUAAGCAGAGUCUGCCUGGUUAGUUCUUGAAUGGGAGAUACGUAGUCA
rnacentral:rRNA from 1 species